GACGAACGCUGGCGGCGUGCCUAAUACAUGCAAGUUGAGCGCUGAAGGUUGGUACUUGUACCAACUGGAUGAGCAGCGAACGGGUGAGUAACGCGUGGGGAAUCUGCCUUUGAGCGGGGGACAACAUUUGGAAACGAAUGCUAAUACCGCAUAAAAACUUUAAACACAAGUUUUAAGUUUGAAAGAUGCAAUUGCAUCACUCAAAGAUGAUCCCGCGUUGUAUUAGCUAGUUGGUGAGGUAAAGGCUCACCAAGGCGAUGAUACAUAGCCGACCUGAGGGGGUGAUCGGCCACAUUGGGACUGAGACACGGCCCAAACUCCUACGGGAGGCAGCAGUAGGGAAUCUUCGGCAAUGGACGAAAGUCUGACCGAGCAACGCCGCGUGAGUGAAGAAGGGUUUCGGAUCGUAAAACUCUGUUGGUAGAGAAGAACGUUGGUGAGAGUGGAAAGCUCAUCAAGUGACGGUAACUACCCAGAAAGGGACGGCUAACUACGUG
rnacentral:rRNA from 1 species